CCCGCCCGGCAGGUGCCGCCCCUCCCCGGGCAGACGUGCAGAAAAGAACGCGCCGGCCUCGCCCGCGAAGGGCCGCGCGGCGGUGGGCGGGGCGUCGCGAACCCCCCUCGCGCCCACUGGCUGCGUUGCGGUAGGGCGGGCCCGGCUAGGCCGGCCAUUGGCUGAGGGACCAGGUCAUUUGCAUACGGGGCUGGGCGUGGAGCCGCGGGGCCCGGGGCCGGUCGGGUCGGGCCGGGGGGCGAGAGGGUGCCAGCGGCCGCAGCUGAAGUUGGGCCGAGAGCCGGCGACGGCCCCGCGCCGGGGUCGCAGGCCUGCAGGAGUUGAGGGCUGCACCUGCUCGCUGGAGAGGGAGAGGCAGAUUUAGUGGACGCCUGGCAUGGACUCGGACUGGCCUUUGGAAGCUCCCUGCCCUGACGGGGUUGCCUGUCACCACUGCGAAGUGAGGCUUGGCAGGACCUGCACCUGAGAAAGGCUGUGUGUGGUCUUGGGGUCCACACCUGCAGAGCUAACUUACUGCCAGACGGCGACUUACUGUGGGCCACCCUCAGUGAACCGGGGUGUCCUCAGCUGGCCCUACAGAGCACUUCUGUGCUGGGGAUGAGUAGGAACUCUGGGCGAGGAGGGUCCCAGCGCCGCCCCUCGAUACAGCCUGGCUCUGCCCUCUGCCCGUACUUACACCAGGUGGGAUCCCUGCCCUGCAUUGCCUGGGGAUUGGCUGGGCUUGGGCCCGCCCUGCUGUGGAACUGGAUGUUUUCAGGGAGCCCAGCCUUUCCUCAUGUCAACACAGUUCACAAUAUAGUUUUCAAAGUACAGUUUAAAACUCAAAAGUAAACUUUUCAGCAACUCAAAGGUUUGCUGAGUGAUCUGAAGCACUCUGGCCACUUUUUGGGGCCAUGGGAUUUGGUUCACCUGAAACAGCCAGUGAGAGGCCGGGUGUGGUGGCUCACACCCGUAAUCCCAACACUUCAGGAGGCAGACGCGGGUGAUCGCUCACUUGAGAUCAGGAGUUCAAGACCAGCCUGGGCAACAUGGUGAAACCUCGUCUCUACUAAAAAUACAAAAAUUAGCUAGGCAUGGUGGUGGGCACCUGUAAUCCCAGCUACUUGGAAGGCUGAGGCAAGAGAAUCGCUUGAACCUGGGAGGUGGAGGUUGCAGCGAGACGAGAUUACGCCGCUGCACUCCAGCCUGGGUGACGAGAGACUCUGCCUCAAAAAAAUAAAAAAAUGAAACAGCCAGUGAGGAGGAAGGCUCCCCGCCUUCCCCCCGCCGGAACAUAGCCAUAGCUGCUGCUGGGACACCCUCUUGGUGGGGAAGAAGGCUGGUUAGCUUCAUCAGAGCCAGCAGCAGCAGACCAGGGACGGGCACCUAGGCAGUGGCCUCAGAGUGAACAGGAGUUCCUCAGAAACACACACAGGGACGGCGUGGCGCAUGCUCUGCCAGCUCCAUGCCUCCUUCCCAUUGUGGGGCUGGGGUACGUAGGGCAGAGCUCAUGACCUCCGGGAGGACAUGGGGGUGGGCUCUGGAUGGCACCUGGCAUUGCCCCCUGCUGGCCUAUGUGACGGUGUGGAGGGCUGGUCACAGAGGUACGACCAUCCCUCCAGAAUGUGGGUCGGGGCUGUGGAUGGAGGAGUAGGCCCCUCAUAUCCCAGGCCUGCUGCCCAGGCACAACCCACUUGGCCUAUGCAUUCCAGGCUCCAUCCCAUGUGACUCUGGGCUUAGCCCCUUCUGGGGCCACAGGUCAGGCAGGUCCAGGCCCCAAGGACCUCCCAGUGACAGGCGACUGUGAGCUGGGCAGACAGGAGUGAAGUCAGGUGGGGGUUCUGGCUUGCUGACACCAGCGUUUGGAGCCUCCUGCUGCUGCCUGGCUUCCCUGCAUUCCCUGUUCCCUGCCUCAGGCAAGAAAUAACCAAGCCGAGUUGCCUCUGCACAGCAGUGAGCUCCUGGUGGCCCUGGCUUCUGGGGAGCCCUGUGGAUGGCUUCCUUGCCCAAGUCCAGGCCUUCUUGUUCCCUUUGUGUGCUCCAGAGAAAGGGGGCAGCACCAGAUCCAGAUCCAGGGCCAACCAACAGAAAGCUGAGUCCAUCCCAAACUCGCCCAUUCUCAGAGCACAAAGACCCCAUGAUCUAGGGCAAACUUGUCCAACUGUUGGCCCAUGGAACAGCUUUGAAUGCAGCCCAACACAAAUCUAUAAAUUUUCUUAAACAUUGUGAGUUGUUUUUUGUUGUUAUUUUGAGACAGAGUCUCGAUCUGUCGCCCAGGCUGGAGUUAGUGGCCCAAUCUCGGCUCACUGCAAGCUCCGCCUCCUGGGUUCACGCUCGUCUCCUGCCUCAGCCUCCCGAGUAGCUGGGACUACAGGCGCCCGCCAACACGCCUGGCUAAUUUUGGUAUUUUUAGUAGAGACGGGGUUUCACCACGUUAGCCAGGAUGGUCUUGAUCUCCUGACCUUGUGAUCUGCCCGCCUCGGCCUCCCAAAGUGCUGGGAUUACAGGUGUGAGCCACCGUGCCUGGCCAACAUUGUGAGUUUUUUUUACGAUUUUUUUUUUAAAGCUUAUCAGCUAUCAUUACUGUAUUCCAUGUAUGGCCCAUGUAUGGCCUCAGUGUAUUCCAAUGUGGCCCAGGGAAGCCAAAAGAUUGGACACCCCUGACCUAGGGCAUCCCCAUCCUCUGCCUUCCCAUGCAUGGCUGUACCCAGGUAUAGGGGUCCUCCACAUUCUGCUCAACACAAAAGAUUUCUCCAGCCCCAACCAUGGAUCCUGGAGCUGGGAGUGUAUGGCUUACCCUUAGAACCAGGAGAGGUGACAGCUAGCCCAAGGGCCCAGGCAGGGGCUGGGCUGUGGACACAAUUUUUUUUUAUUUUGGAGACAGAGUCUUGCUCUGUCACUAAGGCUGGAGUGCAGUGGAGUGAUCUUAGCUCACUGCAACCUCUGCCUCCCAGGUUCAACUAAUUCUCCUGCCUCAGCCUCCCAAGUAACUGGGAUUACAGGUGCAUGCCACCACACCCGGUUUUGUUUUUUUUUUUUUUUGACAGAGUCUUGCUUUGUUGCCCAGGCUGGAGCACAGUGGCGCGAUCUCGGCUCACUGCAAACUCCGCCCCCCGGGUUCACGCCAUUCUCCUGCCUCAGCCUCCCGAGUAGCUGGAACUACAAGCACCCUCCACCACGCCCGGCCAAUUUUUUGUAUUUUUAGUAGAGACGGGGUUUCAUCAUGUUGGCCAGGCUGGUCUCAAACUCCUGACCUCAGGUGAUCCGCCUGCCUCAGCUUCCCAAAGUGCUGGGAUUACAGGCGUGAGCCACCAUGCCUGGCCCCUGCCCUGAUUUCAAAGCUGCAAGCUCAGAGCAGACAUUUCACACCCACCUGGAGAAGAGGAGGCAGCCCCUGCCCACUGGUACCCAUACCCUCCCUGGGGUGGUGAAGCAGCCUGGGACUGGCUGACCUGAGUGUGGGAUCCACCCCCACAAGUUCUCAGUAAACCUGACGGGCGGGUCUAGCUUGUCCUGACGUCCUCAGUUCCCGCUGCUGGCGGGGCACAGGCAACAUGACAGAGAGUCAGGUGGGAGGGGGUCCAGACAAAUGCCUGGGACAGUCAGGCCAGGCUGAACCAGCAGGCCCACCAGGCUGGGGCCCUCACAGGAGAGCCCCUGGGGUUAGGUGAGGCAGAGCAGAUGGAAUGUGGAGCUCAGGAAGCCCCAGCCCUGGGCCCUACUGAGCACCCUGAGGGAUCCUAUUCUCAGAUACUCCAGCUGUGGUGAGCCCCAGGUGUGUCAGGGUACUGCUCAGUGGCACCCCAUGGAGGCUCAAGUUCAAGACCUCAGACCCUGCCCAGCGCAGCCUCCACACACACUCAAGCUGCUUCGGGCAGUUUAUUGAGGUUUUCACGUUGGGGUAGGGGAAGUGGCACACACAUGCUCUUGCUGUGUACACACAGUGAAGGACCUCUCCCGCAGGCAAGCACAUGCCCACAGCUUGAGCACACUGUCCAUGCAUCUCCUGUCCCCAACAGAGGAGCCCUCUGUGACCGCCAACUCUCC
rnacentral:lncRNA from 1 species